rnacentral:lncRNA from 1 species
CCCCAGCUGUCUCCCCCCCCCUCUCUCCCCUCAUCAGAACCUAGAAAAAAUAAGCAAACCUAAUACCACUGCCGAACACACACCCAGCGCACCCUGGGACCUCCCUCUGCAUCUCUCUCUCUCUACCCAUUUCGCUCCGCACCCCUGGGACCUCCCUCUGCAUCUCUCUCUCUCUCUCUCUCUCUCUCUCUCUCUCUACCCAUUUCGCUCCGCACCCCUGGAACCUCCCUUUGCAACUCUUCCGGUCUUCCCCCACAGAAAAAUGAAAAUCCGCACCCCCGGGAUUUUCUUGGUUUGCCAUUGCUUUCUGGGUUUGUUUAUAAGUUGUUCUGUUAUGCUGUAGCUCGGAAUCGGAGGUUGUCACCGGAAAAAAAAACCCAACGAAAUUGUUCUCCAGCUCGGCCCCAAUCGGAGGAAUCGGAGGUUGUCACCGUGAAAGGCACGCGCCAGGCAAAUAGCCCGGCUCCUUGGUCAGUCAAUUUUGGACUAGCCUAGAGACCAGCUUGGGCUGGGUGCCAGGCAAGUUGCUGGGCUGGAGUGAAUUAACAGGGUGCCAGCCUGGUUUUUUUACUGGGUGCUGGGCUAUUCCACCUCUGGUGGAACUGCUCUUAGAAACAGUAUAAGAUAUACGUGUCAGUUAUGUCGUUCAUUUUUAUAUUAAAUCAUUAAAUCAAAUAUUACGACACGUAUAUUUUGAUAUCUACGAAAGUGUCUCAAAUUUUAGACAAAUUGCUGUGCAAUUUUUGCAUAUCAGAUUCGAUUUUGAAAUGCGUUGUCUGUUUCUAUGUGUUAUUUUCAUCUGGGUUUUAUUAUUUAAUGGUUCUGAGUGGAAAAAUAUAUGAGAAAACAAAAAAUUAAAAAGGGGAAUCGGAGAGAAGCCAAAUGGGUUUUGAAAAAAGGACAAUAAGCCAAACAAUUGCAUGUGCAGCUGCUGCAAUUUGGCGCCGUUAAAGGGCUCAAUGAGUCUCUUUCACCGGACAAUCGGCACUUAUCUUGAAAAAUCCACGUAGUUAAAGUGAGUUCGUUAGCCUGUGACUAGAAUGUUACCUUUACCGCAAUCAAACACGAUUAUGUAGAUUCUAAAUUGUUCUUGUAUGCGUAUAAUUCAGUUGAUUAAAAACAUUUGCUUUUUAUCUGGGGUCUUGUAUUUAAGUUUUCAACCUUAAAUUUUAAUAUAGAUUGUCCUAUAUUCUAACCUGUGAAAAAAAUCAAAUAUUAUAUUCUAAUAUGCGUAAUAAAAAUGAUUAAAUUAAAAG